AUACUCUGGUUUCUCUUCAGAUCGUAUAAAUCUUUUGCCUUUUAAAAGACUGCC
rnacentral:snRNA from 1 species